AUUGAACGCUGGCGGCAUGCCUUACACAUGCAAGUCGAACGGCAGCACGGGCUUCGGUCUGGUGGCGAGUGGCGAACGGGUGAGUAAAGCAUCGGAACGUACCCGGAAGUGGGGGAUAACGUAGCGAAAGUUACGCUAAUACCGCAUAUUCUGUGCGCAGGAAAGAGGGGGAUCUUCGGACCUCUUGCUUUCGGAGCGGCCGAUGUCAGAUUAGCUAGUUGGUGGGGUAAAGGCCUACCAAGGCGACGAUCUGCAGCGGGUCUGAGAGGAGGAGCCGCCACACUGGGACUGAGACAAGGCCCAGACUCCUACGGGAGGCAGCAGUGGGGAAUUUUGGACAAGGGGCGCAAGCCUGAUCCAGCCAUGCCGCGUGAGUGAAGAAGGCCUUCGGGUUGUAAAGCUCUUUCGGCCGGGAAGAAAUCGCGCCAGUUAAUACCUGGUGUGGAUGACGGUACCGGAAUAAGAAGCACCGGCUAACUACGUGCCAGCCGCCGCAGUAACAC
rnacentral:rRNA from 1 species